rnacentral:tRNA from 1 species
GUUUUUGUAGUUGAAUAACAACAGUGGUUUUUCGAGUCACAGGUCUUGGUUAGAGUCCGGGCGAAAAUU